rnacentral:rRNA from 1 species
GACGAACGCUGGCGGCGUGCUUAACACAUGCAAGUCGAACGGAAAGGCCCUGCUUUUGUGGGGUGCUCGAGUGGCGAACGGGUGAGUAACACGUGAGUAACCUGCCCUUGACUUUGGGAUAACUUCAGGAAACUGGGGCUAAUACCGGAUAGGAGCUCCUGCUGCAUGGUGGGGGUUGGAAAGUUUCGGCGGUUGGGGAUGGACUCGCGGCUUAUCAGCUUGUUGGUGGGGUAGUGGCUUACCAAGGCUUUGACGGGUAGCCGGCCUGAGAGGGUGACCGGGCAGUGCGGGCCGGGGAUACGGCGCAGAGUCGUGGGGGAUGCAGGGGUGGGGAAUAUGGCAGGACGGGCGGGGGCGUGGUGCGGCAGCGCCGCGUUGGGGAUGAGGGGCGUCGGUUUGCAACCCGCUUUCGCGUGUGGCGGUGGGUGAGUGACGAGAAGGGGUAAAGAAGCACCGGCUGAAUAGGGGGCGGCGGCCGCGGAAAUAGCGGGAAUAGAACACGUCGGAAC